GUCUGCAGAUUUGUCUGUAAAUCUGCAGAUUUGGGGUAUAGUGCUGCAGACAUUUUUUGUUGUGCAGACUUUUGCAGACUUUUGAAAUUCUCGCAGAUUUUUACAGUCUUUUGAAAUUCUCGCUGACUUUCAUCUAUAUUUACAGAAAAAUUUGAAAUUUCCGCGACCUUUUUUUUUUUUUUGCUCGCCAAGUCAGUUUUGCAUGUCAUACUUUAUAGAGAAAUUGCUGCCAGCAAGCCAUACUUGCUGACUGCAGAUUUUUUUUCAGAUUUACAGACCCUGUCUGCAGACAUUUGAAAUUUUUACCUGGCAUCUCUGGCUGUCAGCAAGGGCUGAGUAAAAAUAUAGCAGUCCGAGACUGCAUUGCUAUUUGGAAGCUAAAACUAUCAACAAGUGUUUUUUUACUGGAUCUCAACCGAAAUUACUCCUUGGGUCUCUAAGGUCGUCGUUCGCUUUGGAGUCCGCUUUUACUUAUUUGACUGGUAUAAAAUAAAGCAAAAUCAAGGACGAGUUCAGGUGAUUUCAAGGAGUUAACUCAAAUAAUUUAUAUAAAGGAGGCAAAGGUGCUCGAAUCCUGACGGGAAUAUAUUUGGCAAGUGAAAGGAGGCGAAGGCGCUCGUGGAUUUAAAAUAACAACGAGGAUAUUGAUUAACGUAAAUAAUUCAGUGCCUAUAGGAAAUGGCUCAAAUGAGCAUGGCUUCACUUAUUGAACCUUAUAGAAAGGGCACUCCUUUCAGUGACUGGAUAGAUCGUUUAGAAUAUUGUUUUAUGGCAAAUACGGUGGCAGACAAACUAAAGAAGGCUCAUUUUAUAACUUUAGGCGGUCCGCUUGUAAAGGGUGAUUUUUUAAGAGCUUGAGAACUUUUUUAAACAAUAAAACGCAUAAAAUUUGCAAAAUCUCAUCGGUUCUUUAUUUUAAACGUUAGAUUGGUACAUGACAUUUACUUUUUGAAGAUAAUUUCAUUUAAAUGUUGACCGCGGCUGCGUCUUAGGUGGUCCAUUCGGAAAGUCCAAUUUUGGGCAACUUUUUCGAGCAUUUCGGCCGGAAUAGCCCGAAUUUCUUCGGAAAUGUUGUCUUCCAAAGCUGGAAUAGUUACUGGCUUAUUUCUGUAGACUUUAGACUUGACGUAGCCCCACAAAAAAUAGUCUAAAGGCGUCAAAUCGCAUGAUCUUGGUGGCCAACUUACCGGUCCAUUUCUUGAGAUGAAUUGUUCUCCGAAGUUUUCCCUCAAAAUGGCCAUAGAAUCGCGAGCUGUGUGGCAUGUAGCGCCAUCUUGUUGAAACCACAUGUCAACCAAGUUCAGUUCUUCCAUUUUUG